UCGGCAGAGUGCGGACGUGCGCUGGCAGGGUGGAAAGCUGGAUCUGAGAGUUUCUGAAAUAUUCUCCACCCUCCACACACUCCACCAUUUUCAUUGCUGAGAACUCAAUUCUCUCCUCCUUCUCUCUACGUUCUCUGCACUUCUCUCUAAGAAAACACCCAUUUCAUCUCCUCCAUUCUGUAUUCCAGCACCGUAGAAGGACGUACGGCGUCAAGGGCUUCCAGGGGAAACGUUCGUCUGGAGAAACUGAACUGCUUGGUUUAACGAGCGUUGACGAGCGGGGGAUUUGUAGUGGGAAGGAGUAAUUGUGUGCGUUUGUGGACGGUCAUUUCCAGGAUUGGAUACCAUAAAAGACUUGGACCACACUCAUAGGCGCAGUUUUGCCGAGAGGUUCACGCCCGGGCGCGAGAAAAAGGGUGCCCGGGCGCGAAUUUGCCGAGAGGUUCGCGCCCGGGCGCGAGAUAAAAAGGGGCCUCGGGCGCCACUUAGAAGAAAUGGGACGCUCGUCGCAAAUGAGCGGACGCUCGUCAUAUAGCUAGCGCACGCUCGUUUCAUAGCCAGAGGAAGCUCGUCCAGCACAGCAGAGGACGCUCGUCCAGGGCGCUCGUCCGGAUUCUCGUCCAGAAAAUAGAGCGCUCGUCCGGCAGAAGAGGCAGAGGACGCUCGUCAGGAGCGGCAGAGGACGCUCGCCCAUCAACCAGAGGACGCUCGUCCAGAGGGGCAGAUGACGCUCGCCCAGCUGGCAGAGGACGCUCGUCCAGAGUGAGGACGCUCGUCCAGCGCUCGUCCAGCGACUUUGGACGCUCGUCCAUAAUUGGGCCGCUCGUCCAGAAUUGGGCCGCUGGUCCAGAAUUGGGCCGCUCUUCCAGAAUUUGGACGCUCGUCCAGAGAUGACCCGUGACUCAAUUAUUGUACCCUUCUUUAUAUCAGAAUCCAGAGGCAGUUGCAGAAGGGGGAUCUGGAACGGGGAGGAGACCAGGGACGCUGCUGCAGCUGCUCCAAGGGGCUUCCAUGGUGGAAAAACUCCAAUUUCCACCAUCCAAUCCAUCAUUUCUCUCUUCUAUGUUGUAUAUGUGUAGCUAAAACUCCAUUUCACUGGGGUUGAGAGUAAAUUUCUGAAACUCUUUGUGUUCUAUCUUUAUUUUUCAUGCUUUUGAUGGAAAUCUGAGCUAUUUGAACGGUUAAAUCAUUGGGAAAUGUAUGAGACCGCGGACCUAGCAUAGAACUGCUAAAGGAUUUCGAGUCCUAGACAUAGGAGGGAAUUUUUAGUCAUCUGUGACAUUGUGUUUAAGGCAAAUCUGAUAAUUGAAUUAGCUAAGGAAUUAGCAAUUUAGUUUGAAUGAUUAAGAA